rnacentral:rRNA from 1 species
AUGGACGCUGGCGGCGUGCUUAACACAUGCAAGUCGAACGAAGCACUUUAACCUGAUUCUUCGGAUGAAGGUUUUUGUGACUGAGUGGCGGACGGGUGAGUAACGCGUGGGUAACCUGCCUCAUACAGGGGGAUAACAGUUAGAAAUGACUGCUAAUACCGCAUAAGACCACAGAGCCGCAUGGCUCGGUGGGAAAAACUCCGGUGGUAUGAGAUGGACCCGCGUCUGAUUAGGUAGUUGGUGGGGUAACGGCCUACCAAGCCAACGAUCAGUAGCCGACAUGAGAGGGUGACCGGCCACAUUGGGACUGAGACACGGCCCAAACUCCUACGGGAGGCAGCAGUGGGGAAUAUUGCACAAUGGGGGAAACCCUGAUGCAGCGACGCCGCGUGAGCGAAGAAGUAUUUCGGUAUGUAAAGCUCUAUCAGCAGGGAAGAAAAUGACGGUACCUGACUAAGAAGCACCGGCUAAAUACGUG